rnacentral:rRNA from 1 species
AUUGAACGCUGGCGGCAGGCCUAACACAUGCAAGUCGAGCGGAGCGGCGGACGGGUGAGUAAUGCCUAGGAAUCUGCCUGGUAGUGGGGGAUAACGUCCGGAAACGGGCGCUAAUACCUCAUAGUGUAGGAUGAGACUAUAUCGUAUCAGCUAGUUGGUAGGGUAAAGGCCUACCAAGGCGACGAUCCGUAACUGGUCUGAGAGGAUGAUCAGUCACACUGGAACUGAGACACGGUCCAGACUCCUACGGGAGGCAGCAGUGGGGAAUAUUGGACAAUGGGCGAAAGCCUGAUCCAGCCAUGCCGCGUGUGUGAAGAAGGUCUUCGGAUUGUAAAGCACUUUAAGUUGGGAGGCGUUACCAACAGAAUAAGCACCGGCUAACUCCGUGCCAGCCGCCGCGGUAAUAC